rfam:Triticum aestivum genome assembly, contig: Triticum_aestivum_CS42_TGACv1_scaffold_321045_4BL
AAAAUACUUCCUCCGUCCAGAAAUACUUGUUGGAGAAGUUAAUGCAUAAAAAUGGAUGUAUUUAGAACUAAAAUACGUCUAUAUACAUCCAUUCCUACCACAAGUAUUUCCGGACGGAUCAAGUAUUUC